rnacentral:rRNA from 1 species
UACGAGGGGGGCGAGCGUUGUUCGGAAUCAUUGGGCGUAAAGCGCGUGUAGGCGGCCCGGUAAGUCACCUGUGAAAUCUCCUGGCUCAACUGGGAGCUUGCAGGCGAAACUGCCGUGCUGGAGUGUGGGAGAGGUGCGUGGAAUUCCUGGUGUAGCGGUGAAAUGCGUAGAUAUCAGGAGGAACACCUGUGGCGAAAGCGGCGCACUGGACCACAACUGACGCUGAGGCGCGAAAGCUAGGGGAGCAAACAGG